AGGCUGACUCCGGAGCUAGAGAGGAGCACAUUCGAGCGAGAAGCUACGUGGGUGCAAACAACACUCCAGUUUCUGCCCGGGAGGAGCCGGAUCUAACAACUAGGAGUUCAAGCCCCUACCUACCGACCGACCUGUGGUCUCUGAAGUUGGACAAUGCUCCCCAACAGGUGCAAACAGAAUACCUGUUUGACCGGGCUUUGUCUCUAGGAAACUACAUACGAGGUGAUGGAAAUGCUAUUAAGAGUGAUGUGAAUUAACACAGAGACCUACAAUUGAUUCAGGGAUCUAUGUAGAAGAGGAAGCAGGGAGAUUCUAAGAGCCAGAGAUGGUGGAUGACUUCAAAGAAACAAUGUUUUCCAGCUACAACAGUUUGCAGCAGUAUGGAGGCUGGCAGGAUUGCCCAAGCAGAAGGCUGAGGCCACAAGAGGAACAAUCUGUUGGAGCAAGGCUUUGGAGCACUUGUUCGUGAAGGGUGUAAUAAUAAGUGCCGUGGUGUGGGAACUUAAACAAAUAAGAAUCUCCUUCCUCAAAGUUUGAGAGGCCCAAGAUUCAAGAUGGACAUGUCCACAGGAUGGGCGUCCUUCACUCCUGGUUUGCAAACAGUCACCCCCUGUCUGUGUCUACAUAAGCUCUUACCAUGUGUGUUUCUUCCUGGUGCCUCUCAGAGUCGAUGUUGCUUUUUUUCAUAAGAGUACCAAUUAAGGAUGACUUAGGGACCCUAAAUAGACCCAUUUUAACUACAUUAUCUUUUCACUGUUAUUUUCUUGGUUUCCUAAGGAUCAGACAAGGGGCCUUACGUAUGAUAGGUGAGUGCUCUACCAGUGAGCUACACACCCAGCACCCUUAAUAACAGCUUUAAAGAGCAGCCCUCCAAUGCAAAUACCUUCUUAAGUACUAGCAAUUGGGGCUCUAAUAUGAAUUUAGAAACAUGCAUUUAGAAGAAAGGGGCACAAAACAGCCCUUAUUCAAGGACACUUGAGCACUUGGUGGCUUCAUGGCACCUCUCUAUACACUCUCAGUGCCACCUCUAGACCCCACUUAACAUGAGGAAGAUGCCUCCCUUGCAUUAAGCUUUGUGUCCAGGCACUUCUCAUCCAUGCAGGUAGCCGCAUUCCCUAACUGAUACGUAGCAUCUCACUUCAGCUGUUCUUGUUCACCUCUUUUGAAUCUUGUAUGGAGUGGAGUUCCCUCUUCAAUUAAAAGAAAUUAUUC
rnacentral:lncRNA from 1 species